GAUGAACGCUGGCGGCGUGCCUAAUACAUGCAAGUCGAGCGAACGGACGAGAAGCUUGCUUCUCUGAUGUUAGCGGCGGACGGGUGAGUAACACGUGGAUAACCUACCUAUAAGACUGGGAUAACUUCGGGAAACCGGAGCUAAUACCGGAUAAUAUUUUGAACCGCAUGGUUCAAAAGUGAAAGACGGUCUUGCUGUCACUUAUAGAUGGAUCCGCGCUGCAUUAGCUAGUUGGUAAGGUAACGGCUCACCAAGGCAACGAUGCAUAGCCGACCUGAGAGGGUGAUCGGCCACACUGGAACUGAGACACGGUCCAGACUCCUACGGGAGGCAGCAGUAGGGAAUCUUCCGCAAUGGGCGAAAGCCUGACGGAGCAACGCCGCGUGAGUGAUGAAGGUCUUCGGAUCGUAAAACUCUGUUAUUAGGGAAGAACAUAUGUGUAAGUAACUGUGCACAUCUUGACGGUACCUAAUCAGAAAGCCACGGCUAACUACGUGCCAGCAGCCGCGGUAAUACGUAGGUGGCAAGCGUUAUCCGGAAUUAUUGGGCGUAAAGCGCGCGUAGGCGGUUUUUUAAGUCUGAUGUGAAAGCCCACGGCUCAACCGUGGAGGGUCAUUGGAAACUGGAAAACUUGAGUGCAGAAGAGGAAAGUGGAAUUCCAUGUGUAGCGGUGAAAUGCGCAGAGAUAUGGAGGAACACCAGUGGCGAAGGCGACUUUCUGGUCUGUAACUGACGCUGAUGUGCGAAAGCGUGGGGAUCGAACAGGAUUAGAUACCCUGGUAGUCCACGCCGUAAACGAUGAGUGCUAAGUGUUAGGGGGUUUCCGCCCCUUAGUGCUGCAGCUAACGCAUUAAGCACUCCGCCUGGGGAGUACGACCGCAAGGUUGAAACUCAAAGGAAUUGACGGGGACCCGCACAAGCGGUGGAGCAUGUGGUUUAAUUCGAAGCAACGCGAAGAACCUUACCAAAUCUUGACAUCCUUUGACAACUCUAGAGAUAGAGCCUUCCCCUUCGGGGGACAAAGUGACAGGUGGUGCAUGGUUGUCGUCAGCUCGUGUCGUGAGAUGUUGGGUUAAGUCCCGCAACGAGCGCAACCCUUAAGCUUAGUUGCCAUCAUUAAGUUGGGCACUCUAAGUUGACCGCCGGUGACAAACCGGAGGAAGGUGGGGAUGACGUCAAAUCAUCAUGCCCCUUAUGAUUUGGGCUACACACGUGCUACAAUGGACAAUACAAAGGGCAGCGAAACCGCGAGGUCAAGCAAAUCCCAUAAAGUUGUUCUCAGUUCGGAUUGUAGUCUGCAACUCGACUACAUGAAGCUGGAAUCGCUAGUAAUCGUAGAUCAGCAUGCUACGGUGAAUACGUUCCCGGGUCU
rnacentral:rRNA from 1 species